GAUGAACGCUAGCGAUAGGCUUAACACAUGCAAGUCGAGGGGCAGCACAAGGUAGCUUGCUAUCUGGGUGGCGACCGGCGCACGGGUGCGUAACGCGUAUGCAACUUGCCCUAUACAGGAGGAUAACCCGUCGAAAGACGGACUAAUACUGCGUAUGCUCACAACUUGGCAUCAAGUGGUGAGGAAAGAAAUUCGGUAUAGGAUAGGCAUGCGUCCCAUUAGCUUGUUGGUGAGGUAACGGCUCACCAAGGCAACGAUGGGUAGGGGAACUGAGAGGUUUAUCCCCCACACUGGUACUGAGACACGGACCAGACUCCUACGGGCGGCAGCAGUGAGGAAUAUUGGUCAAUGGGCGCGAGCCUGAACCAGCCAAGUCGCGUGAAGGAUGACUGUCUUAUGGAUUGUAAACUUCUUUUAUACGGGAAUAACAAGAGUCACGUGUGACUCCCUGCAUGUACCGUAUGAAUAAGCAUCGGCUAACUCCGUG
rnacentral:rRNA from 1 species